rnacentral:ncRNA from 1 species
UGUUGUUGCAAUAGUACUUGAACUUAGUACGAGAGGAAACGUUCAUUCGGAUAAUUGGUAUUUGGGCCCUGCCUGAGCAAGCAAAGGCCCGAAGCUAUCAUUCGUUGAGUUAUGGCUGAACGUCUAUAAGUCAGAACCCGUGUUAGAACGCGACGAUUACGGCCUUGUGCCAUUUUUUAGUUGAAUACGAAUAGACCUACGGUCCUCAAUCUUGCAGAGUGGAAAGGUUUUGUGAGGUUCCUACUACUGUUAAGUUCAAAUAUAGCAUGAGAUGAAUCCUUUGCAGACGACUUUAAUUGAACGGGUGUAAUAGGAGCAGAGCAAGAGGGUGC